UACGGAGGGUGCAAGCGUUAAUCGGAAUUACUGGGCGUAAAGCGUGCGCAGGCGGUUUGUUAAGUCCGUUGUGAAAGCCCCGAGCUCAACUUGGGAAUUGCAGUGGAUACUGGCAGGCUGGAGUACGGUAGAGGAAGGUGGAAUUCCCGGUGUAGCAGUGAAAUGCGUAGAUAUCGGGAGGAACACCAGUGGCGAAGGCGGCCUUCUGGACCGACACUGACACUGAGAGACGAAAGCUAGGGGAGCGAAUGGG
rnacentral:rRNA from 1 species